CUCACCUCUCUGGAUCCCCCUCCAGUCUGUUCCCCACGCAGCAGGCAAGGUGAUCCAUGUGAAAGAUGAGGAAACUGAGGCCCAGAGAGAUUAAGCAAUUUGCCAAAGAGCACAUAACCGUGCUGAAGUCCUGGCUUUUCCUGAAGGCCUCCAGGCUUAGGAAUCUGACUCUUACUGAGGGCUGGCGGGGCCCAAACUUCAGACAGUCUUCCUAACCAGGCAUCUGUGCCAGCAGCUCGAGCAGCAGAUGAGACCUUGGGGCCCUCGAGGAGGCGCAGUGAAGAGACGGGUGAUAAGCUGAUGCUUAUUACGUGCUUGAGAAUUCACCAAGGCCCUUUCUCCUGCCUCUUCUUAUCAUAAUCAUUUCCACUUCCCCACAAGCCCCACAGACCUUGAGCACAUCGGCCCUCCCAGCACAUGUGGGGAAGGGACCUCUCUCUCUUCUCUAUGGGGUGGAUGGGGGACAGGGCGUGGGGUCCCUGGAAAAGAAUAACACUCCCAUCUCAGCUCUGCUUCUCAACUGCCCACAUGGCCCGUCCCUCCGUGGGCCCCAGUCCCCAACUGUAAGCAAAGAGGGUGGGCUGGAGGACCAUUAUGGCUCUUCUAGCUCUGAAAAUUCUAGACUCCUGCUUUGAAGACAUUUUGAAAAUCAAGAUCUUUGGUCAGGUCAGAGGAGUGGACCACACGUUUUACUAAACCAGGCUGGGCUGGGCGUGCUUGGCUGCUGGCUGUGUGAUGGAGACCCAGAGAGCCAAAGCCCAGUGUGCAUGGGGAAGUUGACCAUCGGGUGGCUUUGCCUUCAGAACAGAUAACCUGCAAAGUGGAUCUUUGGGCUGCAGAGACUCCAGCCUUGCCUGCCGAUCUGAGGCUGCCCCUGCUCUCAGCAGGGUCUCACAGGAAGCUGGGCUGGUUGUCCCCCUUUUGAUGAGCUGACUCGAGUCACUGACGGCCACUCUGUGCCAGGUGCUACGCUGGGCACUGAGGUUCAGGUGAAUCAGACCCAGGCCCUGGCGUCUCAGAGCUCCCAACCUUUCUCCCCUCCUUCAAGGCCCAGCUGGAACACCCCUCUUCCAGGAAUUCUCCCUGGCUUCCAGCUCUGACUUCUAAUGUCCCCCUGGUGUGGUACAAACCUAGCCCACACCCAGGAGCUUUCCAGGGCACCAGGACCCACAAACCCUGGACUGUGAAGAGGUCAAGACAGGUCCCGGCAGCCCUACCCCGUGCUGGGGCUCAGGAGUUGUGGUCAGAAUUGUCGCUUGGCAACAAGGACUUAUGACACAGCCCACAUCUGUCCUGGCUGGAAGCAAAGGCACCAAUUUGACCCAGCACCCAUGUGUUGGGCUCAGAAGCUCCUAAGUAAGCAAGGACAUUGUGUUGUCCAAAUGUUCCAAGUAAUCUGCAGAGGGGCAGGGUCACCUUGCGACAGUGGAGAACACAGGGGCUCUGCAUCCCAGGCCCGCCUCUUCCCAGCUGUGUGAGGCUGGCAGGUCACAUAAACUCUGUGGGCCUCAGUGUCAUCGUCUCUAAAAUGGGCUAAUAAUGCCUCCUAGCACAGUCACUGUGCAGCAGCUUAAACUAGUUAACGGGUUCAGAUGCUGCCAGUGUUCCAGAGAUGUGUUCUUCUCCUUCCCGGGCCCUCUGAGGCUGGCAUUCACCACCCCAACACACUGAGUCUGCUCCCAGAGGACACCUUCCCCCUCGGAGGGACACCAAAGCUCACUCUGGGCCUCCGCCCACCCCACACAAACAUAGGCUGGGCAAUGCUGGCUGGGGGCAAGACAGGGCCCUGAUGUGAUGAGACACGCCCUGCCGAGUCCUCAACUGGUCAUGUCCAGAGAAGCAGCCCCAAGGGCACCCCCUAGCAGUGGGAAAGAUCUGUUUCCACCAGUCUGUGAAGACGGCCCCUGCCCCAGGUACCUAGCCUGGCCUGGGCCCUGCUGCUCCCAUCUGUGCCAUGGUAGAGGCUCCCCAGAACAGGACAUGGGCAGCUCG